rnacentral:rRNA from 1 species
CGAGUGGCGGACGGGGGAGUAAUGUCUGGGAAACUGCCUGGUGGAGGGGGGUAACUACUGGAAACGGUAGCUAAUACCGCAUAACGUCGCAAGACCAAAGAGGGGGACCUUCGGGCCUCUUGCCAUCGGAUGUGCCCAGAUGGGAUUAGCUAGUAGGUGGGGUAACGGCUCACCUAGGCGACGAUCCCUAGCUGGUCUGAGAGGAUGACCAGCCACACUGGAACUGAGACACGGUCCAG